AGUGAACGCUGGCGGUAGGCCUAACACAUGCAAGUCGAACGGCAGCACAGUAAGAGCUUGCCCUUACGGGUGGCGAGUGGCGGACGGGUGAGGAAUACAUCGGAAUCUACUUUUUCGUGGGGGAUAACGUAGGGAAACUUACGCUACUACCGCAUACGACCUACGGGUGAAAGCAGGGGAGCUUCGGACCUUGCGCGAUUGAUUGAGCCGAUGUCGGAUUAGCUAGUUGGCGGGGUAAAGGCCCACCAAGGCGACGAUCCGUAGCUGAUCUGAGAGGAUGAUCGGCCACACUGGAACUGAGACACGGUCCAGACUCCUACGGGAGGCAGCAGUAGGGAAUAUUGGACAAUGGGCGAAAGCCUGAUCCAGCCAUACCGCGUGAGUGAAGAAGGCCUUCGGGUUGUAAAGCCCUUUUAUUGGGAAAGAAAAGCAGCAGGUGAAUACCCCGCUGUUCUGACGGUACCCAAAGAAUAAGCACCGGCUAACUUCGUG
rnacentral:rRNA from 1 species